GUUGAUUAAGAUUAUUAUAUGAUAAUUAAUUAUUGGUGAAGAAAAUCUCGAGGUUAUUGAACCCGGGAUCGAGGAUUAGAGCAAAUCUUUCGGAGUUCAUCGUUUAGACUAAGGUGAAAGCUGAAACAGAUUGUUUUGGUUGGACUCGAUAGUUGCCAGAAACACGAAGAAUUUGAUUUUCUAUUUUUACGAGUUUAGAAUUUUAGACUUAUGUUAUUUUAGACUUCCGCUGUAGACAUGUGAUUUUGAUGGUUGAUUUUAGAGUAAAUCGUAUUUUUUU